CUGGAAAUAGCUCCAUCGCUAGAUCGUACCCUAAACCGACACAGGUGGACUGGUAGAGAAUACCAAGGCGCUUGAGAGAACUAUGUUGAAGGAACUCGGCAAAAUACCUCCGUAAGUUCGCGAGAAGGAGGCCCGGUUUCUAGGCAACUAGAGGCUGGGGGCACAAACCAGGGGGUGGCGACUGUUUAUUAAAAACACAGGGCUCUGCGAAGUCGCAAGACGACGUAUAGGGUCUGACGCCUGCCCGGUGCCUGAAGGUUAAAAGGAGGGGUGAGAGCUCUGAAUUGAAGCCCAGGUAAACGGCGGCCGUAACUAUAA
rnacentral:rRNA from 1 species